UACGGGGGGGGGCAAGCGUUGUUCGGAAUUACUGGGCGUAAAGGGUUUGUAGGUGGCUUGUUAAGUCAGACGUGAAAUCCCUCAGCUUAACUGGGGAACUGCGUCUGAUACUGGCGAGCUUGAGUGCAGGAGAGGAACGCGGAAUUCCAGGUGUAGCGGUGAAAUGCGUAGAUAUCUGGAGGAACACCGGUGGCGAAGGCGGCGUUCUGGACCACAACUGACGCUGAGGCGCGAAAGCGUGGGGAGCAAACAGGG
rnacentral:rRNA from 1 species